rnacentral:rRNA from 1 species
GGUGAACGCUGGCGGCGUGCCUAACACAUGCAAGUCGAGCGAAAGCACGAGAAGCUCGCUUCUCUAAGGGUAGCGGCGGACGGGUGAGUAACACGUGGAUAACCAACUUAUAAGACGGGGAUAACUUCGUGAAACCGCAUCUGAUACCGCAUCAUAUUUUCAACGGCAUGGUUCAAAAGAUAAUCACGGUCUUCCCGUCACUGUUAGAUGGAUCCGCGCUGCAUUAGCUAGUUGGUAAGGUAACGGCUCACCAAGGCAACGAUGCAUAGCCGAGCUGAGAGGGUGAUCGGCCACACUGGAACUGAGACACGGUCCAGACUCCUACGGGAGGCAGCAGUAGGGAAUCUUCCACAAUGGGCGAAAGCCUGACGCAGCCACGCCGCGUGAGUGAUGAAGGCCUUCGGCUUGUAAAACUCUGUUGUUGGGGAAGAACAGAUGCGGGAUUAACCGGGGCCGUCCUGACGGUACCCAAUCAGAAAGCCCCGGCUAACUACGUG